rnacentral:lncRNA from 1 species
UUUGUUACAUUGUUAUAUUCAUAAUGAUACGUUACAACAAGUCUCACGCGGUCAAAACAAUUGAAAUGUUACAUUAAAAUGACUACUUAAUUACACGUUUGGUUCAGGAUUGUGCUCUCGUCAUCUUUAUUAAUGACCAAAUUAUUUUUACUAUCAACGGCAGUAUUCAAACUAACACAGACUCACAGACUCAAUAUAUCAACUUCUGUGGGAGGACAUGCUCCAAAGAAUAACGUAGAUAAAUCUUCUGGAAGGUCGUAAAAAGUGUCGUAAGGAUCGUCACAAAAUUCCUUUAAAGGUUGCUGUCCACCAGCUCCAAAGAAUGAAGUAGAUAAAUCGUCUGGAAGGUCGUAAAAAAUGUCGUAAGGAUCAUCGCAGAAUUCCUCUGAACGUUGCUGUCCACCAGAAAUUUGGUCAGACUCUAAACGUUCAUGUUCGUGAAGUGUGUGAAUAGGUUCAAGGAUUGAGUGUGUUUCAAUUGAGGAAGACAAAACUGAUGAAUUUGAUUUUUGUUUUCUACCACGUUUUUUCAUUCCAUUCUCUAAUUUAUAUUUCAA